rnacentral:rRNA from 1 species
AAUAGAUACCCGGGUAGUCCACGCCGUAAACGAUGAGUGCUAAGUGGUUAGGGGGUUUCCGCCCCUUAGUGCUGCAGCUAACGCAUUAAGCACUCCGCCUGGGGAGUACGGUCGCAAGACUGAAACUCAAAGGAAUUGACGGGGGCCCGCACAAGCGGUGGAGCAUGUGGUUUAAUUCGAAGCAACGCGAAGAACCUUACCAGGUCUUGACAUCCCAUUGACCGCUAUGGAGACAUAGCUUUCCCUUCGGGGACAGUGGUGACAGGUGGUGCAUGGUUGUCGUCAGCUCGUGUCGUGAGAUGUUGGGUUAAGUCCCGCAACGAGCGCAACCCUUGUUCUUAGUUGCCAUCAUUUAGUUGGGCACUCUAAGGAGACUGCCGGUGACAAACCGGAGGAAGGUGGGGAUGACGUCAAAUCAUCAUGCCCCUUAUGACCUUGGGCUACACACGUGCUACAAUGGACGGUACAAACGGUUGCCAACCCGGCGAGGGGGGAGCCUAAUCCGGAUAAAACCCGUUCUCAGUUCGGAUUGUAGGCUGCAACUCG